UGUAAACGAUGUCGAUUUGGAGGUUGUUCCUUGAGGAGUGGCUUCCGGAGCUAACGCGUUAAAUCGACCGCCUGGGGAGUACGGCCGCAAGGUUAAAACUCAAAUGAAUUGACGGGGGCCCGCACAGCGGUGGAGCAUGUGGUUUAAUUCGAUGCAACGCGAAGAACCUUACCUACUCUUGACAUCCAGAGAAUUUAGCAGAGAUGCUUUAGUGCCUUCGGGAACUCUGAGACAGGUGCUGCAUGGCUGUCGUCAGCUCGUGUUGUGAAAUGUUGGGUUAAGUCCCGCAACGAGCGCAACCCUUAUCCUUUGUUGCCAGCACAUUAUGGUGGGAACUCAAAGGAGACUGCCGGUGAUAAACCGGAGGAAGGUGGGGAUGACGUCAAGUCAUCAUGGCCCUUACGAGUAGGGCUACACACGUGCUACAAUGGCGUAUACAAAGAGAAGCGACCUCGCGAGAGCAAGCGGAACUCAUAAAGUACGUCGUAGUCCGGAUUGGAGUCUGCAACUCGACUCCAUGAAGUCGGAAUCGCUAGUAAUCGUAGAUCAGAAUGCUACGGUGAAUACGUUCCCGGGCCUUGUACACACCGCCCGUCACACCAUGGGAGUGGGUUGCAAAAGAAGUAGGUAGCUUAACCUUCGGGAGGGCGCUUACCACUUUGUGAUUCAUGACUGGGGUGAAGUCGUAACAAGGUAACCA
rnacentral:rRNA from 1 species